GCAUGGGGGAUGAUGACCAAAAAGGCCGAAUUGCAGCGUCUCCAGAGCAGUUGACUCUCUGUGGGAGACGCCAUGACAAAUCCUCCUGAAGCGAAACAUGGCUGACCUCUGC